rnacentral:rRNA from 1 species
AGAGUUUGAUCAUGGCUCAGAUUGAACGCUGGCGGCAGCCCUUAUACAUGCAAGUCGAACGAGAAAGUUUCUUCGGGAGCGAGUAAAGUGGCGGACGGGUGAGUAACGCGUAGGAAUCUACCUUUCAGUGGGGGAUAGCUCGGGGAAACUCGAAUUAAUACCGCAUACACCCUUCGGGGGAAAGGGGGCCUCUCCUUGGAAGCUCUCGCUGUUAGAUGAGCCUGCGUGAGAUUAGCUUGUUGGUAAGGUAAUGGCUUACCAAGGCUACGAUCUCUAGCUGGUCUGAGAGGACGAUCAGCCACACUGGGACUGAGACACGGCCCAGACUCCUACGGGAGGCAGCAGUAGGGAAUAUUGGACAAUGGGGGCAACCCUGAUCCAGGCAUGCCGCGUGUGUGAAGAAGGCCUUAGGGUUGUAAAGCACUUUAAGUGAGGAAGAAAAGAUUUAAAUUAAUACUUUAAGUCCCUGACAUUACUCACAGAAUAAGGACCGGCUAACUCCGUGCCAGCAGCCGCGGUAAUACGGAGGGUCCAAGCGUUAAUCGGAAUUACUGGGCGUAAAGCGCGCGUAGAUGGUUUAUUCAGUUGGGUGUGAAAUCCCUGGGCUCAACCUAGGAACUGCAUUCAAAACUUAUAAACUAGAGUACGAAAGAGGAGAGUAGAAUUCAUGGUGUAGCGGUGAAAUGCGUAGAGAUCAUGAGGAAUACCAGUGGCGAAGGCGACUCUCUGGUUCGAGACUGACAUUGAGGUGCGAAAGCGUGGGUAGCAAACAGGAUUAGAUACCCUGGUAGUCCACGCCGUAAACGAUGAGAACUAGCCGUUGGAUCUUUAGAUUCAGUGGCGCAGCUAACGCAUUAAGUUCUCCGCCUGGGGAGUACGGCCGCAAGGCUAAAACUCAAAUGAAUUGACGGGGGCCCGCACAAGCGGUGGAGCAUGUGGUUUAAUUCGAUGCAACGCGAAGAACCUUACCAACCCUUGACAUCCAGUGGAAGUUUUAGAGAUAAAACUGUGCCUUUGGGAACACUGUGACAGGUGUUGCAUGGCUGUCGUCAGCUCGU